GAAGUAAAUUAAAUGAACUUCUAAUUCAUAAUCUUUAUGAUACCUAAUCAUAUUACUUCA
rnacentral:tRNA from 1 species